AACGAACGCUGGCGGCAUGCCUAACACAUGCAAGUCGAACGAGACCUUCGGGUCUAGUGGCGCACGGGUGCGUAACGCGUGGGAACCUGCCCUUAGGUUCGGAAUAACUCCCCGAAAGGGGUGCUAAUACCGGAUCAUGUCUUCGGACCAAAGAUUUAUCGCCUUUGGAUGGGCCCGCGUUGGAUUAGCUGGUUGGUAGGGUAAAAGCCUACCACGGCGACGAUCCAUAGCUGGUCUGAGAGGAUGAUCAGCCACACUGGGACUGAGACACGGCCCAGACUCCUACGGGAGGCGGGAGUGGGGAAUAUUGGACAAUGGGCGAAGGCAUGAUCCAGCAAGGCCGGGUGAGUGAUGAAGGCCUGAGGGUUGUAAAGCUCUUUUACCCGGGAUGAUAAUGACAGUACCGGGAGAAUAAGCCCCGGCUAACUCCGUG
rnacentral:rRNA from 1 species